GCCGAAGACAAACUUCUAGAUGGAUUUAUUGCAUGAAACUUCAGUUCCAAUUCAGAAAAACAUCCCAGAUUUAAUUAAAGCUGCUUCACCAGCCAUCGCAAGGCGACUGCAACGCAAAGCUCUGUAUUUUCCCUAUAUACACAUGUCACAGUUAAAAUGGGCGUAUACCUGUUCUGAUUGUCGAAUAUCCUCGUCAACAUCCUCAUCAAGCAAGUCGUCUAAACCCGCUUCAUCACCAGCAACAUCGAGGAACGGCUUCAAAGCGAUAGCUUCGCGCACUUCGGUAUACAGCUCAUAGUAAGAAACAAGAUCACCUUCACGCUUCGUCAUCUCAAACUUCGACCCUGGAAACACAAAUUGAAGAACAUGCUCCGUUAGUGCUUCAUUGCGACCUGUCGUAUAUAAAUGAAAAAGCUUAAUCCGUCAAUGGCAAAUGUAAGUCUUCAGAAAUUAAGAGGAAACCUAAAAAUUCGAACAGCUACGUACCUGCUGCAUGCAUGUAUUUUGUUGUUGAUCCCAAUCUCGAGAUGUAGCUGUUGAUUUGCUCAACCUCUUCACCUGCAGUGUAACCACUUCCA
rnacentral:lncRNA from 1 species